GGGUCGUUAGCUCAGUUGGUAGAGCACCGGGCUUUUAACCUGUUGGUCCUGGGUUCGAGUCCCAGACGACCCACCA
rnacentral:tRNA from 1 species